AUGCCAACAGUCGUCGAGAGGUUUGUGGACUGGACGGUGUCGUGGCUGCCGAUGUAUGGAGAUGCGAAGAUGUUGGUCGUCAUCUAUCUCUGGCACCCCAGCACACGAGGUGCGGGGCACGUGUACGAUGGCUUCCUCCAUCCACUGGUGGCGUGGCAUGAGGCCGACAUCGACCGGGGCCUUCUUGAGCUGAAGGCUAGGGCGAGGGACAUGACGGCGUCACAACUCAAGGCGGCGGCUGCCAUCGGUCCAGUGUGGCUCGUUGAGGCUGCCCGCUAUGUUUCAUCGCAGAUGCAGGCCAUGAGAUCAGGUCGGGAAGGCGCCACGCAUUGA
rnacentral:rRNA from 1 species